rnacentral:misc_RNA from 1 species
GAUGAAGAACGUAGCGAAAUGCGAUACGUAAUGUGAAUUGCAAAUUCAGUGAAUCAUCGAGUCUUUGAACGCACAUUGCGCCCCCUGGUAUUCCGGGGGGCAUGCCUGUCCGAGCGUCAUUGCUGCCCUCAAGCACGGCUUGUGUGUUGGGCCCCGUCCUCCGAUCCCGGGGGACGGGCCCGAAAGGCAGCGGCGGCACCGCGUCCGGUCCUCGAGCGUAUGGGGCUUUGUCACCCGCUCUGUAGGCCCGGCCGGCGCUUGCCGAUCAACCCAAAUUUUUAUCCAGGUUGACCUCGGAUCAGGUAGGGAUACCCGCUGAACUUAAGCAUAUCAAUAAACGGAGGA